rnacentral:misc_RNA from 1 species
UGAAGAACGCAGCGAAAUGCGAUACUUGGUGUGAAUUGCAGAAUCCCGUGAACCAUCGAGUCUUUGAACGCAAGUUGCGCCCGAAGCCAUUAGGCCGAGGGCACGCCUGCCUGGGCGUCACACGUCGUUGCCCCCCCAUCUACUCCUUCGGGAUUGCGGGGGGCGGAUGAUGGCCUCCCGUGCGCCUCGUCGCGCGGUUGGCAUAAAUGCCAAGUCCUCGGCGACGCACGCCACGACAAUCGGUGGUUGCGAAACCUCGGUUGCCCGUCGUGUGCGGUCGUCGCGCAUCGAGGGCUCGAAAAAAUUGCCGGGCUCCGGCUCGGCUUUCAACGCGACCCCAGGUCAGGCGGGGUUACCCGCUGAAUUUAAGCAUAUCAAUAAGCGGAGGA